rnacentral:rRNA from 1 species
UACGUAGGGUGCAAGCGUUGUCCGGAAUUAUUGGGCGUAAAGCGCACGUAGGCGGCUUUGCAAGUCCCAUGUGAAAUCCCACGGCUUAACCGUGGAAGUGCAUGGGAAACUGCAGAGCUUGAGUACUUAAGAGGAUCGCGGAAUUCCCGGUGUAGAGGUGAAAUUCGUAGAUAUCGGGAGGAACACCAGUGGCGAAGGCGGCGAUCUGGGAAGAUACUGACGCUGAGGUGCGAAAGCGUGGGGAGCAAACAGG